CCACCACUUCCAUCAUCUUUGCUAUUGGAAAUCUUCACUUUGAGAUGCUUUUUCUGUGGGUGAUAAACACCAUACCAUGGUUGGAUAAGGUCAGAUUCUUGUCCAGCUUGCAAGACUGAAUUCCUUGUAUUAAAGGAGUACACAAUGAUUUUUGGUGCUAAACAUAUGGGUCUCAUCCACUGAGAAUUGAUUUUGCAUCCAGUUAUAGAAGGGAUGGAGAUUGAGAUACGCUCAGACCCGCGAAUAAUUGAGUGUAACUAAUUUCUUCAGCUGCUUGCAUUGAAGAUCUAACCAAGUCACCCCCAACUCUAUGGAGAAAUCUUUUUUGUUGGCUGGUGUAGAUAGGCUAAAUAUGCAUUUAUUAUUUUUGUGUAGGUUUUCUACUUAUAGUAUGUACACCCCUUUCCAUUAGCAUUACCAGUCUUUUUAUCCAUUACUAUCCUUAAGUAUGGACACUACUAUUUAUCACUAUUUAGAAUACUCCUACCUGUAGAUGGUAGUUGACUAAAAUUGUUGCGCUAGUGCAAAAUUAGAUAGAAAAUCUACUAAUUGGUUGC